UUAGGGUACCAUUCUCCCUGGAAGGUUAGACAUGUUUAGGGUACCAUUCUCCCUGGAGGGUUAGACAUGUUUAGGGCACCAUUCUCCCUGGAGGGUUAGACAGUAACAUGUUUAGGGUACCAUUCUCCCUGGAGGGUUAGACAUGUUUAGGGUACCAUUCUCCCUGGAGGGUUAGACAGUAACAUGUUUAGGGUACCAUUCUCCCUGGAGGGUUAGACAUGUUUAGGGUACCAUUCUCCCUGGAGGGUUAGACAUGUUUAGGGCACCAUUCUCCCUGGAGGGUUAGACAUGUUUAGGGUACCAUUCUCCCUGGAGGGUUAGACAGUAACAUGUUUAGGGCACCAUUCUCCCUGGAGGGUUAGACAUUAACAUGUUUAGGGUACCAUUCUCCCUGGAGGGUUAGACAUGUUUAGGGUACCAUUCUCCCUGGAGGGUUAGACAUGUUUAGGGCACCAUUCUCCCUGGAGGGUUAGACAUGUUUAGGGUACCAUUCUCCCUGGAGGGUUAGACAUGUUUAGGGUACCAUUCUCCCUGGAGGGUUAGACAGUAACAUGUUUAGGGUACCAUUCUCCCUGGAGGGUUAGACAUGUUUAGGGUACCAUUCUCCCUGGAGGGUUAGACAGUAACAUGUUUAGGGUACCAUUCUCCCUGGAGGGUUAGACAGUAACAGGACAUGUUUAGGGUACCAUUCUCCCUGGAGGGUUAGACAGUAACAUGUUUAGGGUACCAUUCUCCCUGGAGGGUUAGACAUGUUUAGGGUACCAUUCUCCCUGGAGGGUUAGACAUGUUUAGGGUACCAUUCUCCCUGGAGGGUUAGACAUGUUUAGGGUACCAUUCUCCCUGGAGGGUUAGACAGUAACAUGUUUAGGGUACCAUUCUCCCUGGAGGGUUAGACAGUAAUAUGUUUAGGGCACCAUUCUCCCUGGAGGGUUAGACAGUAAUAUGUUUAGGGUACCAUUCUCCCUGGAGGGUUAGACAGUAAUAUGUUUAGGGUACCAUUCUCCCUGGAGGGUUAGACAGUAAUAUGUUUAGGGCACCAUUCUCCCUGGAGGGUUAGACAGUAACAUGUUUAGGGUACCAUUCUCCCUGGAGGGUUAGACAUGUUUAGGGUACCAUUCUCCCUGGAGGGUUAGACAUGUUUAGGGUACCAUUCUCCCUGGAGGGUUAGACAUGUUUAGGGUACCAUUCUCCCUGGAGGGUUAGACAGUAACAUGUUUAGGGUACCAUUCUCCCUGGAGGGUUAGACAGUAAUAUGUUUAGGGUACCAUUCUCCCUGGAGGGUUAGACAGUAACAUGUUUAGGGUACCAUUCUCCCUGGAGGGUUAGACAUGUUUAGGGCACCAUUCUCCCUGGAGGGUUAGACAGUAACAUGUUUAGGGCACCAUUCUCCCUGGAGGGUUAGACAUGUUUAGGGCACCAUUCUCCCUGGAGGGUUAGACAGUAACAUGUUUAGGGUACCAUUCUCCCUGGAGGGUUAGACAUGUUUAGGGCACCAUUCUCCCUGGAGGGUUAGACAUGUUUAGGGUACCAUUCUCCCUGGAGGGUUAGACAGUAAAAUGUGUCUGCGCUUGGUUGAGACUCGGUUUGCAUUCAGAUUACAUUUUGGGUCAGGUAUCCAUCAGUGUAGAAAUGCAUUAGUGAAGCACUCAUAAGAGUGUUAUGUAGAAGUGUCAAGGUCAGUGUCAAUUUCAUCUCACCUCUGGUCAAUUUAAGCAAAUGUAUUGAAUUUGUAUUAAUGAAUUGAAUAAAUCCUGUUCAUGGAAUAUGGUUAACCUACUGCCCACCCAAGUCCCAAUCAUGAAUUGGAUAUCAAUUCCUUUUUUUGCGGAAUAAUGUUUUCUAUCUAUGUCAUCCUGAAACAGCUGGUCGCUGCAGUUAAAUGUUAAACACAUUUGUCUUUCAUCAAAGACAACAAAUACAGACGGGACAGAGUACGCUGACAUAUGCAAAUAUAGCACAAAGCACUUGCUUCCUUCAGACAGUGACAGUGAACACAGGCCUGCAAUGUGUGACGUGUGAUUCAAUAACAUUCCAACUGCAUAUGCUGUAGAACGAUGAUAUUGACACUUAACAACGGCUGAAACACACAAAAAAUCACACAAUAUACUUACAAUAUAUAUACUGAACAAAAAUAUAAACGCAACAUGUAAAAUGUUGGUCCCAUAUUUCCUGAGCUGAAAUCAAAGGUCCCUGAAAUGUUCCAUACGCACAAAAAGCUAAUUUCUCUCAAAUUUAUGGCACAAAUUAGUUUAGAUCCCUGUUAGUGAGCAUUUCUCCUUCGCCAAGAUAAUCCAUCCACUUGACAGGUGUGGCAUAUCAAGAAGCUGAUUAAACAGCAUGAUCAUUACACAGGUGCACAUUGUGCUGGGGAGGCCACUCUAAAAUGCCCCUCUAAAAUGUGCAGUUUUGUCACACAACACAAUGCCACAAAUGUCUCAAGUUUUGAGGGAGCGUGCAAUUGGCAUGCUGACUGCAGGAAUGUCCACCAGAGUUGAUGCCAGAAAAUGUAAUGUUAAUUUCUCUACCAUAAGCCGCGUCCAACGUCAUUUUAGAGAAUUUGGCAUUAUGUCCAACCACAGACCACGUGUAACCAUGCCAGCCCAGGACCUCCACAUCCAGCUUCUUCAAAAGCAGGAUCAUCUGAGACCCACCACCCAGACAGCUGAUGAAACUGUGGGUUUGCACAACCAAAGAAUUUGUGCACAAACUGUCAGAAACCAUCUCAGGGAAGCUCAUCUGUGUGCUCAUCGUCCUCACCAGGGUCUUGACCUGACUGCAGUUUGGCUUCGUAACCAACUUCAGUGGGCAAAUGAUCACCUUCGAUGGCUACUGGCACACUAGAGAUACACUAGCUCUUCAUGGAUGAAUCCCGCUUUAAACCGUACUGGGCAGAUGGCAGACGUGUGAGCGAGAGGUUUGCUGAUGUCGUCAACAUUGUGAUCAGAGUGCCCCAUUUUGUGGUGGGGUUAUGGUAUGGGCAUGAAUAAGCUAUGGACAACGAACACAAUUGCAUUUUAUCGAUGGCAAUUUGAAUAAACAAAUAUACCGUGACGAGAUAUCCUGUGGCCCGUUCAUCACCUCAUGUUUUAGCAUGAUAAUGCACAGCCCCAUGUCGCAAGGAUCUGUACACAUUUCCUGGAAGCUGAAAAUGUCCCAGUUCUUCCAUGGCCUGCAUACUCACCAGACAUGUCAUCCAUUGAGCAUGUUUGGGAUGCUCAGUAUUGACAUGUACGACAGAAUGUUCCAGUUCCCGCCAAUAUCCAGCAACUUCGCACAGCCAUUGAAGAGGAGUGGGACAACAUUCCACAGGCCACAAUCAACAGCCUGAUCAACUCUAUGCAAAGGAGACGUGUCGCGCUGCAUGAGGAAAAUGGUGGUCUCACCAGAUACUGACUGGUUUUCUGAUCCACGCCCCUACUUCAUUUUUUAACGUUUCUGUGACCAACAGAUGCAUAUCUGUAUUCCCAGUCAUGUGAAAUCCAUAGAUUAGAGUGUAAUGAAUCCAUUUAAAUUGACUGAUUUCCGUGUAUGAACUGUAAAUCAGUCAAAACGUUAAAAUUGUUGCAUGUUGCGUUGAUAGUUUUGUUCAGUGUUCAUAUUAUAUACAUAGAUGCCUCUGUUUCACGCUCAUACAGAGCAACACAGACGGAUAGAAUGUUCUUAUGUCAAUAUGGAUCACACAAAACGGUUAGGGGAUAGGUAAUGCUUGAGACUUAAAAUGUAUACGUAAUAUCACUGUCAUCGAGAGCCAAAAUAAUCAACACUACUUUCAGAAGAGAACCUGAAAGUUUAAUGAAUUACCAUCAACAACACCUACGGCUCCAUAUUGCCCUACGUUGGGAAUGACAAACAGAAAACAAAGGGAUGAUUCCCAAAUGGCACCCUAUUCCCUAUUUAGUGCAUUACAUUUAACCAGGGCCCAUAGGGCUCUAGUCAAAAGUAGUGCACUAUGUAGGGAAUAGGGUGCCAUUUGAUAUACACACAUAUUAUUUUACGUUUCUUUAAAAAACUGUUUAGGCAAUGUAUAACAAUAAAUAGGAUAUAAUUUUCAAUAUUCAAAAAACAGGUGGCAUUUUUGUUAUUUGGAAUUCCCCAUUUGUUUGCUCAUCCAUGACUUAGAGUUACAGAUGUCUGCAUUUGUUAAAAAAAAAUGGAAUGCAGUUUAACGAUAAAUGUGUCUUUUAGGAGGGGGUGAUCACUUUAGGUCAGUUUCGCUUUGUGCCAAAGGGUUUCACAUAUGAACCAAAAAAAGGAAGACAGCAAGAUAAACUUCCAGAGAACUUAAAUGAUUAGUAGAGAGUCAUGUGCGUUGUUUUCCUCCUCUAGUAUUUUUUUUCUACUUUUCUAAAAUCCAGCUCCCCGAUCGCCGUAACCAUGGUGAUAGAAACAACGUCACCCGUCAGUUUAUUUCUCUACCGAAAGUUUUUUUUUUUUUUUUCUUUAUAAAAAUCAAAGUUUUUUUAAUUUAUAAAAUAAUUUAAUUGGGAUGUUAUCUUUCAUCAUCAUCAUCUGCAUGUGGCCCAUUUUUACCUAUUUUUUUUAUAACUAGCUUGCUAUGCUACUAAGUUGUUUUAACAUGUAUCAGGUGGAUUUGUGUUUUCAUGUGGCCGUCAUCGAACAAUUGUGUUGUUAUAACCAUAUAUCACUUUUGAGGCAAUUAACAGUACGUGGCUAACAAACACAAAAAAAAGAUCUAUUUCAAACAUGUAAUGAAUAUGAGGCAUGUACACACAAAAUGAAUAUCACAUCACCUUUGUGAUUUAAAAAAAUAUAUAUUGUACAGAACCUUUGAGAAUAAUUGACACGGUGGCAUCCAACAAGAUUGGUUUAUAUAUUGUUGAGUAAAGGUUUAAUCACCUGAAUUCAGUCAUGAAAAAAGAGAAUUAAAAGCAAAUUAAAUGUAAAACAAUGAGACGACAAUCUCUGCUGUAACGUAAAUGGCUACAUAUGCAUAUAUUGGUGAGUGUGUGUGUGUGUGUGUGUGUGUGCAGCGAGUGUGUGUGUGUGCACAUUUUUGUGUGUACGUGUAUGUAUACUGGCAUGAACCUUGCCAGAAUAUUUUAUGUACACACGUAUCUUGUAUAAAAUCUAUAUAUGAAAUACCUGCUAUAUAAUAUAUAUGCUUGUAAAUUAGUCAUUGGUGGGUAUAGGUUCAAGGUUGCUUGGAGAGGAAGCUUAAAUGUUUGCCAGCAGUAUAGUAUUGAUCAACUCUGUGUUGUCAUGCCUUUGUAAAAUAUCCCAUCAAAAUCUAAGAAAAAAUGACCUUCCAGACAUGUAAUUUUACUUGAACCAUUAAAUAUUGAAUCGUCAAAGUAA